ACACAUGCAAGUCGAACGGCAGCAUGAUCUAGCUUGCUAGAUUGAUGGCGAGUGGCGAACGGGUGAGUAAUACAUCGGAACGUGCCCUGUAGUGGGGGAUAACUAGUCGAAAGAUUAGCUAAUACCGCAUACGACCUGAGGGUGAAAGUGGGGGACCGCAAGGCCUCAUGCUAUAGGAGCGGCCGAUGUCUGAUUAGCUAGUUGGUGGGGUAAAGGCCCACCAAGGCGACGAUCAGUAGCUGGUCUGAGAGGACGAUCAGCCACACUGGGACUGAGACACGGCCCAGACUCCUACGGGAGGCAGCAGUGGGGAAUUUUGGACAAUGGGCGAAAGCCUGAUCCAGCAAUGCCGCGUGUGUGAAGAAGGCCUUCGGGUUGUAAAGCACUUUUGUCCGGAAAGAAAUGGCUCUGGUUAAUACCUGGGGUCGAUGACGGUACCGGAAGAAUAAGGACCGGCUAACUACGUGCCAGCAGCCGCGGUAAUACGUAGGGUCCAAGCGUUAAUCGGAAUUACUGGGCGUAAAGCGUGCGCAGGCGGUUGUGCAAGACCGAUGUGAAAUCCCCGAGCUUAACUUGGGAAUUGCAUUGGUGACUGCACGGCUAGAGUGUGUCAGAGGGGGGUAGAAUUCCACGUGUAGCAGUGAAAUGCGUAGAGAUGUGGAGGAAUACCGAUGGCGAAGGCAGCCCCCUGGGAUAACACUGACGCUCAUGCACGAAAGCGUGGGGAGCAAACAGGAUUAGAUACCCUGGUAGUCCACGCCGUAAACGAUGUCAACUAGCCGUUGGAAUCCUUGAGAUUUUAGUGGCGCAGCUAACGCAUUAAGUUGACCGCCUGGGGAGUACGGCCGCAAGGUUAAAACUCAAAUGAAUUGACGG
rnacentral:rRNA from 1 species